GAUGAAGAACGCAGCGAAAUGCGAUAAGUAGUGUGAAUUACAGAAUUCAGUGAAUCAUCGAAUCUUUGAACGCACAUUGCGCCCUUUGGUAUUCCAAAGGGCAUGCCUGUUCGAGCGUCAUUUGUACCCUCAAGCUUUGCUUGGUGUUGGGCGUCUUGUCUCUAGCUUUGCUGGAGACUCGCCUUAAAGUAAUUGGCAGCCGGCCUACUGGUUUCGGAGCGCAGCACAAGUCGCACUCUCUAUCAGCAAAGGUCUAGCAUCCAUUAAGCCUUUUUUUCAACUUUUGACCUCGGAUCAGGUAGGGAUACCCGCUGAACUUAAGCAUAUCAAUAAGCGGAGGA
rnacentral:misc_RNA from 1 species